AAUUGAGGUAGAUGUGAAAAUGUAGUCUGCCAUUCCAUUUCUCGCCAAGUUCCUUUGCAAGCUGAUGACUAGCACAUUCUCAUAGACCAAAAUGGGAAAGACAGGAAGCAGUCCACAGCACGCUGACUUCAGAGCGGAGGCGGUUAGAAGACUUGCAGAAUGAUGCCAUGGUUGAUGCACUUCUGGCGGACAUAGCGACGAACAGGGAGCGGCUGGUCACCAUCUCCAACU